GAUCUCUAUCACGGCAAGUCCUUUGGGAGUCGUCACGCCGCCCGCCCUCUCCCGCCCUCGCCCGCCCCCGUCGCCUCACCCUCGCCCCUAUCACGCCACCGAGGGACCAGGUGUCAGGUGUAUGUCAGGGUCAAAGCAACGUGGUCAACGAGGAGCUGUACAAGAAAAUCAUCAACGGUGGGGUCAUAUAUAUACAUCUGCCCUCCAAGAUAAGGGAUGUGUAUUUCGUAAGGAAUGGAUCGAGAUGAUGACCCAGCCAGACCUAGCAACCACCAGCCAGCCCCCCUCCUCGUCACCGCCGCCGCCCAUCUCAAGACAAGAGUUGCGAGACGAGGACAGAAAGUAGAGAAGAGGGAGAUAAGGCAAGA